GGAGCCCGACGUGGGACUCGAUCCUGGGUCUCCAGGAUCAUGCUCUGGGCUGAAGGCAGCGCUAAACCACUGAGCCACCCAGGCUGCCCUAACAAAGACUUUUAAUAUCAAUUUAUUCUAUCCAAACAAACUGACGUGACUCAGGUAUUUAAAAAUAUUUUAGAAACACUUCCUCAAAAAUUUCCAAGACAGCAGCUUUCAGAUGUUCCCCCAAUACCAGGGUUGUUCCGAUGAAGUAAAUCUUAUGAGAACUCACCACCAACCACAAGCAAAUCUUAUGAGAACUCACCACCAACCACAAGCAUUUUCAGGCAUAAGUUUACUCUUCUUACCACCCUGAGCUUAGAAGCAGGCAGUCCUCAACAAAAGUUCAUUGAACCCAAGUACUGAAAUUAUAACAGCUAAAAUACCAACAUAUCAAUAAACAGGCUUUUGAAAGACUGUGGGAAAUCAAAACACUGUCAGUUUAUACAAGUAUUCAUAAACAUGUGAAAAUGUUCUAGUUUAUCCUAAAUGCCUCAGCCCUUUUGAAUGCUACACUAAUUAAAAGGAUACAUUUCCUGAGUAGUUCAUAAAAUAUGGAUAGUAUUUAAAAAUGAAAAGCAGUGUGAAAAGGGUAAGCUAAAUAUUAGCUAUACUCAGUCUUACUAUAUGGCAUAGUGCAAUCCAGUAAUUAAUAGUACCACAUAAUUGUUUUAUUCAGGUUCUGUUUGUCAGGCCUGCUUUUAAAAUUAAGUCACUAAAGAGAAAAUAUUUUCAGUCUGUAAUUAUAUUUAAAUCAUCAAUUUGACUUGUGCUUUUUAAAGUCUAUUAAUUUAACAAAGAUAGCCAAAAGUUGAUAUUUGAGGAAAAGACUUUCAGUUCAGGGUAUAAACGAUAAAAGAUCAUUUUAAAAAGCAUGUAAUAAAAGCAUUUUCUGUAAAAACAAAGACACCUCAAGCAGGUCCACCUAUACCUCUAGUUUAGGUCAGAAAUGAAGUCAAUCUUAAAAAAAAAUCAUAUAAUCUUUAACUUUGCACUAAGUCACGUUGGCCUUCUUCCCCUCAUGAGUCAGGUCUUAGUGUACCUGAAGGAAAUUAAAGCAUACUGAAAAGAUACUGGCUUCAAAUAAUAUACAGACAUAUUGAUAUAUUGCAUCAAUAUCUAGAUAUAUAACCUAGUGGAUUAGGUGUCAUCCUUCAAACCAUUUCUAGGAGAAAAACUUGGCUGUCAGCUUUCCUCAAAGCAAAGAUACAAUUUUCCUCAAAAACAGGAUACAAAAUUAUAAAUUCUGCAAAGUCCUAUUUGUUAACAUCCUAAAAAUAAGCAAUUACCUUUUAGGUAUAAAGAGCUAAAUACAGCCCUUCCUUGUCUAAGAGUGACACUGGUCACCUGUAAUUUAGUGCUUUAUCUUCCAAAUCUUUGGAGAUUUACUAUACCCUGUGAGGAUCAACCAACAAUGGUAAUUUAAUCCCAGUAUAAACAUUUAUGGAAAUCCAACACCGUUACUUAGUGCCACUGAAGUAUGAGAGUAUAAAAAGAGCUUAGUUCUAAAAGGAAAAUCGCUUAUUACAAUGGAAGUAGUCUCUUAAAUUCAAAUGGCAUCAUGAAGAUCAGUGAUAAUUGAUUCCUCUGGAAUGAGAUUUUUUAUUCCAGCAUUUAUUGUAUGUGUUUAAUGAUAUUUUUUACUGUGAUGUGGCUCAAUUAACUCACUGGUAUAUAAAAAAUAAAAAGGGAUUAAAAAUAUGAAUUAUAUUAAAUGCUAUUAAGGUAAAAAUAAUGUAAAAUAUCAAAGUAAGAUCCAGACAGAGAUGGGAAAAAAAAAUUUUUUUAAAUAAAGGGCCAGAUAGUAAAUAUUUUAAGUUUUACUGGUCGCAUGAUCUGGUCUUGGUUUCUAUUUUUUUCUACAAUUCUUUAAAAAUGUAAAGAUUAUUUUGUACCUGCUAGCCACAUAAAAUCGGGUGCUUGCCAAGUGAGGCCACAGCUUGUAGUUCCUUGAUAUAGAAGAAAAGCAAUCCUCAGCUACUAACUCUCUACCCUUUUUUUCAACUUUAAAUAAUUUCAGAUAGGACAGGAAUUAGAGGUUCAAAGGACUAUAAGGAUAAGUGAUCUAACUUUCCAAACGGGGAGCUCAAGGCCCAGGAGUCCCACAUGACUCGCUAGUAACAGAGAGGCCAAACACUGGUCUUUCACCUUCUAUUUUUGGAAUAUACUCAAAUUUGAGGACUCCCUUUAAAAUAAAGUAUACUACAGCUUUACUGUAUUCACAGCUUAAAGUAUUUGCUUUACCAGAUAUUUUUCACAUUCUUUUAUCAAGAAAUUCACACUAAGAAAAGAAAAAAAAAUAUAUAUAUAUACAUUUUUUUUUUUUUUUAAAGAAAAGAAAAUCUUAAAAAUACUUUCAAAAUAGUAUGGAGAUAGCGUGCAGCUUAAGGAGGCUUAGAAUUCUGUCCCCUAAACUCGGUAAGCUGGACAGGCUGGCUUCUGAGUAGAAGCCUGAAUAGGGCUGCUAGGUCUAUGACAUUAAUAUUCAAAGCAAAUAGACAUUACUCCUUUCUCAUUAAGUCCCCCAGAAGACACUGGGAUACCACACAAACACUUCACAGAAAGAGUCUAACCCUAUCCGUCUAUAUUUUUUCCUAUUACGGAUAUGUGGAAUUAGGAAUAGCAUUUUAAUG
rnacentral:lncRNA from 1 species